AUGCCCGAUAUGUCAUUUAGCAGGGCGGACUUGGACCUUUAAAUUGAUGCCUAAAAAAGAGCGGGUUUCGCGGACUCGACCCGUUUGGUUUGCGGGUCAGGCGGUUUUGUCCGUUUGCGACCACGGGUUUGCGGGUGGUCUAAAGAAUCUUUUGUCUUCUCCGGUUCUUCCAACCUGUGUCAAUUCAUCUUGAAUUCUCCAUGAAUUGGGAGAUUUUUCUUAUGAAGUUGAGUGAAGAACGGUACGAAAUGAACCAAUGAUCAAGAGAUGGCAUAUCAAUUGACGUGAAUUGCUACCAUGAGUCUAAGCCGUUGCAAGCCAAAAAAUUGCCGCCAUGAGUGUAAGAAGAGCUAUCUUGUAGCCACGACAGGUUCAAAUGGUGUUUCGAGGUCGUUGGGAUGCUUCAAGAGAGAAAGAAGAUGGAGCUAGACCCAUGAGAAAUACGUUUAUCUGCAGAUAAAGCAUAACGAGGUAAUGCAAUUAGGAGAUAAAAUUUGGUUGCCUGUGUCAAUCGCUGAGAUGAGGAUUUCUAAGAGAUAUGACACUAUACCAAGUGGAACCUUGUAUCCAAACGCAGAUGAAAUCGCAUAUCUUCAAAGACUUGUCAGGUUCAAGGACUCUGCUAUUAUAGUUCUUAAUAAGCCGCCUAAGCUUCCAGUCAAGGGAAAUGUUCAUAUACAUAACAGCAUGGAUGCACUUGCAGCUGCAGCAGAGGUUUAUGACAACCAACGUUUUCAUAAAACGGUUGAGACUGAGAGACAUGUUCCAUGAAUCAUCUUUUUUCCUCGAUGUGAGGCAAAGACAUAUAAGUUGCUAUUUGCUAAGUAGGAAGACAAUAAGCAUCCAUGGCUGAUGGUGUUUCAUGGGGCAUGGGGGAAGAUGCUAUUGAAGAAGAAGAGGUGAUGACGAUGCAUCUAGUGAGCCAAACUGGGGUAUUGACUGUUCUACUGUUGUUACAGUUAAAGAAUUGCAUAUUAGUUCUCCUAUCUUGGCUGCUAAAGGCCCUUUUUCUAUAAGCUGUUUUCUAAUGGAAUGAGGGAAUCCUUUUGCUUCUUGUUUUCUUGCUCGUAACGAUCGUACGGAGCUGGGUGGAGGAGAAGAAGAAGAUGCCCGCAGGCAUGCCCGUUAGUCCGCAAAGAUAAGCGGAGCGGGCAUGGGCACUGAUAGGUCGCCCGCUGCCCGCAGCGGACCUGUCCGCGGUGGAUCACUGAAAAGACGGGACCAUCGCGGUCAGCCUGUUUGGGCGCGGGCAUGCCCGUUUGACAUUUCUAGGUUUCAUUCAUCCCUUUAUAAAAUAAAGAAAUAAAAUCUGUAUACAUUAUUAUAAAAUUAGAAACUUAAACCGCUGUUUUAUAAACUCUAACCGAUAUAUAAUUUUGUUCUAAUU